CACAGGGUUCCUUUUUUUUUUUUUUUUUGCAUCUGAUGGUUUGGGUCAGCGGAUCCCUGGCAGUGGGGGAUGCGUUACAGCCCCAGAUUUUGCAGGGAAAAAAAAUGCAAAGAGAGAGAGAAAGAGAGAGACCUGACAGCCAUUUGUCUGCAAUGGUAUAAGGGUUUUCUGCUUGAGCAGGGGGUUGGACUAGAAGAUCUCCAAGAUCCCUCCCAACUCUGUUAUUAAAUCCUGCUUGCAGAAUUUCCACGGUGCGCAUUCCGGCUUGGGGAAGAAAUAGUUCCGUUGAGGAUUUGGACUCUUGCGGUUAUAGAUGCCUCCUAUGGGGUUUUGGAACAACAUUUCAGGCAGAGUUCACACAACCUGCUCAACCAAACAAGCAAAACAACACUUUGCCUUCAUGUGGCAUGUGAACCUGAAUGAAGGGUCCUGUCUGACAGGUUUCCAGAAAGGUUAAUAUUAACCAGCGUCACUCCAUGUGGAUGCAGUAGUAAGCCAUCACAUCAAUUUUUCACAAUGCUGCAGGAGAAUUGUAAUACUUCUGUAAUACUACUGUAUCCAGGGCAUUAUGGGAAAUCAAGACACAUGUCAGCAACAUCCUCUGCCUUCUUUUAUCUCCCAGGCUUACUGGUUACUCUGGAGCCGAAUGUAGAUAUGGCUGUUAGUAAGGCAGAAGCAUAGCUGCUUCUACUACUAUGGCAUGGAUUCAUAGGCUGCUCCAAGCAAGACAUUCCUUCUCCUUUAAUGAACAGAACGGAUCACCUGAGAACUUCCAAUGUUAGUAUGCUUUGAAUCUUUCCUGCCUGACCAAGAAAUAUCUUGCCCAUGAUUAUCUGAUGAGGCCCUGGAAAAUUAAGAGAACAGGCCUGUUUACCAACUAUAUGAAUGCAGCAAGAGAGAAAGGAGAUUAGCGGUGAUCAAUUGAAUUAGAAAUCUGUGCCAUUAAUAAUACCCAGGUUUCAAAAUUUGGUAAUCAGUCUUCAAAGAUACCAAUUCCCCUGGGCUUUUUGACAAUUUCAGAAGUUAUCAGUAUGUCUAUCUGAAGCACUAUCUCUUCUUUUUUCUUUCUUUUUUUCCAUAAGGACCAAUUUCUAAAGGGGGGGAUUCAUGUGACCAAGAUAUCCACAUAAGCCAGUGUUUCUCAACCUUGGCAACUUUAAGAUGUGUGGAGUUCAACUCCCAGUGUUCAUUAUUGUAGACAUUGAAAGAAGAUAGCCUUUGGUGGGAAAUCUGACAUUUCAUUAAUGAACAGAGGUUUUAGUGCACUCAGCUUAUGCCUUUUAAUAAAAUGUGUUCAUUGGAAAAGA